UACGUAGGGUCCGAGCGUUUGUCCGGAAUUACUGGGCGUAAAGAGCUCGUAGGUGGUUUGUCGCGUUGUUCGUGAAAACUCACAGCUUAACUGUGGGCGUGCGGGCGAUACGGGGCAGACUUGAGUACUGCAGGGGAGACUGGAAUUCCUGGUGUAGCGGUGGAAUGCGCAGAUAUCAGGAAGAACACCCGUGGCUAAGGCGGCUCCUCUAGUAAGCGGGUACUGACGCUGAGACGCGAAAGCGUGGGGAGCGAACAGGAUUAGAAACCCUGGG
rnacentral:rRNA from 1 species